UGAAUACUGAAGGGUUGGUAGGGGACCAGAGAAUAGAGGAAGCAUUGUAGGUUCUAGAGUGGAGAAGGGACCAUCCAAAAUGGAGUUUGAAAGAGAAUUCUGGCCUUUGUGUUUAGAGUCUGGAAUUGUCAAGAGUCUGAAAGCACAGAAUAAGACUGCAGCUAGAGCAAUUUAGGCGCCAUAGUUUGUCAAAACAGAGACGGGAUCUCACUGUGUUGCCCAGGCUGGUCUCGAACUGCUGGACUCAAGUCAUCCUCCCAUCUUGGCCUCCCAAAGUGCUGGAAUUACAGUGGACAACCUUCAAUGCACUGGUACUUUGUACCCUGACCUCUACUGUGAUGAACACUCAACUUGGGCAAGGAAGUGAAAUUCUCCAAAGGUUGGAGUGCAGUGGUGCGAUCUCAGCUCACUGUAACCUCUGCCUCCCGAAUUCAAGUGAUUUCCCUGCCUCAGCCUCCCGAGUAGCUGGGACUACAGGAAUUAUUAAGAUAAGGACCAGCAGUACAAUGAGCUUUUCACUGUAUGUCUGACCUGAAAGAAGAAAAUCUUUUCAGAGGACUCCUCUCUCCCCUUCAGUCGCCAAGACAAUGAGAGCUCUUGCUACAGAAUACUCAUGGUCAUUUCUUCCCCUGGCAUUCAUAAACUAACAUGGUUCCCAAGCACUACCUUGUUGGCUGAGAGAGAGUCCCCGCCUGUGUUGGGAGGCAGGCUGAGGGCUGCGACGGCUGCUGUGGUGAUUGCUGCUGCUGCAUGCGAUCCUGCAGGCUCCG
ensembl:lncRNA PPP3CB-AS1 PPP3CB antisense RNA 1 (head to head)